GACCUUGACAGCAGUCUUCAAAAAUGGUUCUUUCUGCUUCUGGAGAAGAGGCUAUGAUCAACUCUGACCUUCUCAUGCGUCUUACAAUGGUUAUUCUGCUGUAAACAGUUGAGAGGAAGGAUUUUCCCAACCUGUUAAAUAACGGACACUUUUACAUGUUUGUACAUCCUCUACAUCGGAUAAAAGAGACACACUGAGAAACAAAGGAUGAGCGCUAAGGACAAGUCAUCUCUGUUUGGAGCUCCCAAAUUUCUAUUGUGCUUUCCAGCUGAGCCAUGUAGCAGGUGGAACUCUGCUUCUAAUUUCUUUUGAUCUCUUAUUUAUUUUCUGUUUGUCAAGUAAAAAAACCCAACCAAAUAAACCUUCAUCCAAUUUAUAAACUGGAUGCAGAUGCAUAAGCUGGAAUGAAUGGAACCCAAAAGGGUACUGGUCUGGCUAGAUUUUUAAAAAGGGGCUAGUGGUUUUUGGCUGCCCCAAUCUUAGCUCCAAUAUGAAACAACUGAAAAGGGCCUGCUUUUCAGGGGUUGGGUGCUCAUCACUCUCAGUAAAUCUGUUCUCUUUAAA